GACGAACGCUGGCGGCGUGCUUAACACAUGCAAGUCGAACGGAAAGGCCUCUUUCGGGGGGUACUCGAGUGGCGAACGGGUGAGUAACACGUGAGUAACUUGCCCUUGACUUUGGGAUAACUUCAGGAAACUGGGGCUAAUACCGGAUAGGAGCUCCUGCUGCAUGGUGGGGGUUGGAAAGUUUCGGCGGUUGGGGAUGGACUCGCGGCUUAUCAGCUUGUUGGUGGGGUAGUGGCUUACCAAGGCUUUGACGGGUAGCCGGCCUGAGAGGGUGACCGGCCACAUUGGGACUGAGAUACGGCCCAGACUCCUACGGGAGGCAGCAGUGGGGAAUAUUGCACAAUGGGUGGAAGCCUGAUGCAGCAACGCCGUGUGCGGGAUGACGGCCUUCGGGUUGUAAACCGCUUUCGCUCAUGACGAAGCUUUGUGUGACGGUAGUGGGUAAAGAAGCACCGGCUAACUACGUG
rnacentral:rRNA from 1 species